AAAACAUUUGCUGACUGCUGUUCUAUCUAGGAUAUCAUCAGUGUGUAGAUGAUCAGAGUUCAUGUCAGUGUUCCUACAAGCCAAUGAAGAAAAACAGAGAUCUGUGUUCUGAAUGGAAAAAUUCCUACUGAUGCCAGUAAGUGAGCCAUCCAUCUAUGAUGUGUCUAUGGGGAAGAAAGUGACAUGAAUGAGUAAAAUAGAAUAUAUGCUUUAAAUCAUGAAAAUUGAGUCCAGAUGGAAAGGUUAGGAGGAAAUGGAGUGGAAAGGUGGAUGAAGAAGAGUGAGAACUCAUGCAGUCGUUGCGACUUGGUUGACACUUCCUUCCCUGUGACUACAAUUCCAAGUUCAGUACUCCUGAGCUUUUAUAGAUGGAUGAGAAUAUAGGGGGAAGAAACAAGAGGAAGGAGUUUUCUGAAAUCUCGGUGGAGAGGAGGGAGAAAAAAGAUGGGAAAAUGUUACAAGCAUUCUGUUCAUGUUGUAUCACUUAGUGCAGUCUUGUCUUCCCAGCCCACUAGUCUGGAACAAGUCAGUCUCAAACAUAACAACAGACACUGGGGAGCUCUCCAACAAAAGAUCACCUCCCAAAGAACAGGAUGGUGUCGAAGACUGAAUGCCAGCCUGAGGAAACAGAAAUACUACAGAAGCACGCCAGAGCCUGCAGUGUCUCCUCGCUGCCUCUCAAUGAACUGCUAAAAGACCAAGAACUCUGCUGAGAGAUAAGAAGAGGGGAGGGUGUGCUGCAGGUGGUGCUGGGAGGCCCAGACCUUCUCCUGACAUCUGGGGCUGGCUACAGGAAACAGAAACAUCACCCAGGCCUUGGCGCGAGACAGGACAGAGGCAGAUUGUGACUCAGAUCUGCAGGUGGAAAGUGGGCCUUUCGUUUUCUCCUAGGGGUAGAGCAAAGCCAGAGGGCUCAGUCAGAGGAAACCUAAGGCAGUUCAUGAUCCCUUCAACUUUAUACCAUUUCCUCAAAACUGCCUCCAAACAGUGGGCAACUGGAAAGGUGGUCUGACCUCCAGUGAUCACACAGUAUGCAUUAUAACAGAAGGCUGUCACUGUCAAUUGCAUGGCUCCCUCACUAUGCAUUCCUUCUAUCAAUUUACGACAACACACUGUAGUGAGUACCUGCACAUUGCUGGGUAUUUUGGCAGACAUUGAUAGUAGAUGAAUAACACCUGGUACUUGACCUUGAGACGCUCACUGCCUAGUGUGGGGAACCAAUGGUUGCAAUAUAAAGUAUUAACUAGAGGGAUAGAGGACUGCCUGAGGAUCUCUGCACUCAGAGGAAGGGCCAUGAGAUCAGCCAGGACAGUAGGGAGGCAGUGACUCAUGAAAUUAGCAAGUGGUGAGAAGAGGGCA
rnacentral:lncRNA from 1 species